rnacentral:tmRNA from 1 species
GGGGAUGAUCGGUUUCGACGGAGGUGGAUGAAUUCGGACUGCAGGUCGAGAGGCGCCGAGCUCGAAAAUCAGCGCAAAAAACUAAGUGCCAAAAGCACAAACUCCUACGCUGCUCUUCCACUGGCUGCAUAAGUCAGUUGAGCGCGUAUGGCUUUCCUAAGGGAGAGCCCGCUGCACUGCUACCUGCCCCGACCGGCGGCAAAUGCAGCGACAAAAUGGCCGGGGUGCGCUGCAGGUUUUCACGCCCUGUGGCUGAACACAGCCUUCGGGCUGUAGUGAAUCGGGAGAUCUAUGUGUGUCGCCCAGGCAUCUGUCUCCCAAAACUUACUGAGCGACUAAACCUGUAGAGGUCUGUCUAUCUAAACUUUCGGACGCGGGUUCGAUUCCCGCCAUCUCCACCU